rnacentral:lncRNA from 1 species
GACACCAUGAGAUGUUUUCUACUGUAGAAACUUUCUCAUUAGAAAUAGCCCAUUUAUACAGGGGACUGGCUAAUGUUUUUCUAUGAGUAUCAUUAGCCAGUGUCUCAAAGUGGUGAAGAGACUGCAACCUGGAACAAGGAGAGACAAAGGGAAGGAGGAGUCUGGAGCCAUAUUGAAGAUGAAAUUGAGAUAUGGACUAGGUGGUGGAUCGUUUUUAUAAGAGGACAUAAAAGAGGAUGCUAAAGCUAAUUGCCACAAUCAGAACUCAAAGACCUAGCAAAUGCAAGACACUGGCCACCUCCCUGAACCUGGGCCAAGAUGAGGGUCUACACCUUGGCUUAGUUCUACUAUGAAAGACUUUCCUGCAGUAAAAGUUACCUGUCUGAAACAUUCAGAAGAGUGAAAAUGCCACAUCUCCAAUUUCCAGCAAUAUAUUUGUCUGCCAUGAUUUGGCCUGGAAGCUUAAGCAGGAAGACCACUUGGAGCCAGACUUCAGAGUGAUCUGUCUCUAAGGAAUAACUUUCAUAUUGCAGCGUUCGGUUUUGCAAUUCUUCCUAAGCUACUCUAAAUUCGCAGCAUAAAUCUGCAGAAAGACUUCACCCUCCACAUCAAACCCUUAUAAGGAUCCAUUUCUGCUCUCAUUUUAGAAUAUCUUUUCUAAUAGCUAAAGGCAGACAGAGGCAAACCAAGAAAUCCAGACUUUGCAUCAACGGGUUAAAUCAUAUGUCAAAGGUGCAACCAUAACGUAUUACAAGCUUCUCAUCACAUAAUACAUCACUCAAG